rnacentral:rRNA from 1 species
AUGAUGACUGCUCGAGGGUCACCAAGGUUGAGCCUCCUCAAAAAAGCUAUCGAAAGGGAUAGAGCAUCACCUCCUACAAGCAGUGUGACAAAGAGGAUGAGAGGGUCUCCCAAAGAAGAUAGAGCACAGUGGAAUGCAAGCCUUGAGAAAGAUCUUGUGGACUUGCUUCGUGAGCAUGAUACACCUGAACAUAAGGGUCAAAAUGGAUGGAGCUCAGAAGCAUGGAAUACGAUAGUGAAGAAAUUCCACCAAAAGAAUCCUUAUGCUAGGACGAAGCAGGUGGAGGAUGAGAGGAAUAAGCCAAGGGUCGUGAAUGAGUACUCUAUCAAAAACUGCAUUGAUCUGCUGAAAACAAUGGAGAUCACACUUGAAGAAGAAGUCAAGGCUUUCCGAGUCUUCAAGAUCCCCGAGAACCGAGAGAUUUUCGUGAGUGCCGGACCGGAGACUGCUCUUAUGUGGCUGAGAGCUGAAAUGGAAUAA